AGUCCCCGUUGAUGCAUGUAUAUCGUACCCAGGUGAACACAACUUAACUUUGAAUUCAGACGACAAUUCAUCAAACUUGGAUGUAGAAACAUGCAAUAUAACGAAAAUCUAUCUCCAAGAUAAAAGAGAUACUCUUGUUGUGAGGAUUGACUUCCUGGCGGAGGGGUGUAUUACACUGACUGGCAGUCUACAUCUGAAUGUGACUCUGUGCAACUAUAACCACCGUACAUGAGUACAGGACAAAGGAAUAUGUUGAUAUUCAUUUUGAAUCAUCAGCACUUGUCUACAAUAUUGCAACUUACAAAAUCACUUAUG
rnacentral:lncRNA from 1 species